UACUCGAGUGGCGAACGGGUGAGUAACACGUGGGUGAUCUGCCUGCACUCUUGGAUAAGCCUGGGAAACUGGGUCUAAUACCGGAUAGGACCAUGCUUUAGUGUGUGUGGUGGAAAGUUUUUUCGGUGUAGGAUGAGCCCGCGGCCUAUCAGCUUGUUGGUGGGGUAAUGGCCUACCAAGGCGGCGACGGGUAGCCGGACUGAGAGGUUGGUCGGCCACAUUGGUACUGAGAUACGGCCCAG
rnacentral:rRNA from 1 species